CCAGGGGCUUGCGCCUCUGGCUAGGAACGGUCGCCCCUUCGGGGCU
rfam:Singulisphaera acidiphila DSM 18658, complete genome.